rnacentral:rRNA from 1 species
CCUGCCGGCCACAGGAGACCGGAAUAAAUAACACCCGUUCCCGUUCCGAACACGGAAGUUAAGCUGGACUCCGCUGGGCCAUUAGUGCAGUGCGAGAGCCUGCGCGAGAUCUCAGUGCUGGCAGGC